rfam:Branchiostoma floridae genomic scaffold BRAFLscaffold_121, whole genome shotgun sequence.
ACCCCGGCCCUUUUCAGGGCCACCGAAAUGAUUCCCGAAAGGGCUAU